AUUGAACGCUGGCGGCAGGCCUAACACAUGCAAGUCGAACGGUAACAGGAAGCAGCUUGCUGCUUUGCUGACGCGUGGCGGACGGGUGAGUAAUGUCUGGGAAACUGCCUGAUGGAGGGGGAUAACUACUGGAAACGGUAGCUAAUACCGCAUAACGUCGCAAGACCAAAGAGCGGGACCUUCGGGCCUCUUGCCCUCGGAUGUGCCCAGAUGGGAUUAGCUAGUAGGUGGGGUAACGGCUCACCUAGGCGACGAUCCCUAGCUGGUCUGAGAGGAUGACCAGCCACACUGGAACUGAGACACGGUCCAGACUCCUACGGGAGGCAGCAGUGGGGAAUAUUGGACAAAGGGCGCAAGCCUGAUGCAGCCAUGCCGCGUGUAUGAAGAAGGCCUUCGGGUUGUAAAGUACUUUCAGCGGGGAGGAAGGGAGUAAAGUUAAUACCUUUGCUCAUUGACGUUACCCGCAGAAGAAGCACCGGCUAACUCCGUG
rnacentral:rRNA from 1 species